AGAAGUGCAACUUUGUAACUUCACUUUAGCCUCUGAUUGCAGGCCACCACUUCAUUUACAUGGGUGCGUUUUGUUCAAUUCUUUGUUCAAAACCCCAAGAAUCUGGACAACUUGCACUCAAGACCCUCUACGGGUUUGGCGAGCCAGAGACCAUCAAGCUUCAGAUGAUCAUGUGACAGGGUUUCCAGCCAGUUCCAGGUGAAGACACCACCCCUGGCCAUCAAGAAGUCACCCGGUCUCCACUAGACAGAGUAGGGUGAGAGUUCCGUGAUCUCCAACCGGUAGUGAUUAUGCCCCAAGUCAGCAUAAAGAAGUUACGGAAGAAAAACCAUCAGUCCCUCUGUCUCACAUAAAGACUUAUGGGGAUCACGUUUCUCAGAGGGGAGAUGAGGCAGGAGAAUAGGGUCUGGAGGCAGGGAACCUAAGGCCGUUUCACACUGACUUCUUAGAACUAAAUUGAAAGGAAAACCCUAAUUUUCCAUGCCUAAGUAACAAAAGGACCAGAGGCUACUCCCUUUGCAAACCCCCACCUUUUCUGUGUGGCAUAUGGGAAAUUGAAAGUACCUCUGAUUGAUUGUUUUCUGCAACCAAUCAGAUGUUUGCAUUGGAGUGUAACUUUGUAAUUUCACUUCAGUCUCUGAUUGGUUGCUGCAGUCUGGAAAUUCUGCAGGCCAAGUCUUCGUUUGCAUAGAAGUGCAACUUUGUAACUUCAUCUUAGCCUCUGAUUGGUUGCUUUCUGCAACCAAUCAGAUGUUUGCAUAGGCGUGUGACCUUUGUAACUUCACUUCAGCUUCUGAUUGGUUGCUUUCCACAACCAAUCAGACUGAUUGUGGGCCACCACUUCCUUUACGUGAGGUGAACACCAAGUGGCCAAUGGAAAACCUCAAGAGGGUAUUUGGACCUGAGAAGAUUCUGUAUCUGGGGCCCUUGAGCUGCUGCUCUGCCCACUCUCACAUGGUGGAGUGUAAUUUCACUUUGAAUAAAUCUCUGCUUUUGUUGCUU
rnacentral:lncRNA from 1 species